ACAUUUGAAAAUGAUGAAUCGCUGUGUGGUAAGGUGCUUGCUUACCAACCACAUGGUUCCGGGUUCUGUCCCACUGCGUGGCACCUUGGGCAAGUGUCUUCUACUAUAGCCUCGGGCUGACCAAAGCCUUGUGAGUAGAUUUGGUAGACGGAAACUGAA